GGUGGAACAUGACCUCAUUGCUUCAGGUAAGAGCUCUCUCUCUUGGUCUGUCAUGGCCACCCCUUCCAGGGCCCCCCAGGGGCCCUCCCAGCCCCCGCUCCCACAGGGACCCAGGCCUCUGACCACUGGGUCUCCGCCCCUCAGGGGGCCUGUUUCCGGCUGACUCAGCGUGGGGGGCCCAAGGCUGCGUCAGUGAGGGGAGAACUGACGUAGCCCCCCCCCAGACCGGCGGGGCCAGCCAAGACUAGGAGUCCAGACUCCCCAGCCGCUCCUCCCUCAGACCAGAUGCCUGUGUCCAGGCCCCAAACCCUGGUUUCCAGGUGGAGAAAAAGGUGUCUUUUGCAACUUGCGGACUACUCUAUGGAAAAGGCCACCCCUAACAAGGGCUCAGUGAGCCUCAGGCCCCUUGCCCGUGGUUUCUAGGGGGAAGACCCCAGGCUGUGAGGUCUCGGGAGACUUGGAGCUGCCCGUGCAGGUAUGGGGUUAGGAA